UGAGGAUUCGACUAAUGGGUAGGUCAGCAGGCUUUGAACCUGCCAGUAUGUGUUCGAGUCACAUAUCCUCAG
rnacentral:tRNA from 1 species